AAAUAAAUAACUAAUAUAAGUGUGUUAUUUACACUAACAAAAUGGCCUCGCUGUCUUUAUUUA
rnacentral:tRNA from 1 species